UCCAGCAGCCGCGGUAAUACGGAGGGUGCGAGCGUUGUCCGGAAUCACUGGGCGUAAAGGGCACGUAGGCGGCCGAGCAAGGUCGCGGUGAAAGCCCGGGGCUCAACCCCGGGUCGGCCGUGGCAACUACUCGGCUCGAGCACUGUAGGGGCGGGCGGAAUUCCGGGUGUAGCGGUGGAAUGCGUAGAGAUCCGGAAGAACACCGGUGGCGAAGGCGGCCCGCUGGGCAGGG
rnacentral:misc_RNA from 1 species